GAAUUAGAACCCCUUGUCCACUUCAGGCCAGUUGAGACCACCAACCCACCAACGGGGCCUGCACAGGUGUCCAAUAGGCGACCUUUUGACAUCAAGAGGGGACCCAGAUCUUCACACCCUAGGCCUGGCUCUCUUCCUCAAGCUGUAAGGUGAUGACAGCUGGAGGGAGGAUGGAACUAAGAAGAAGCUCAAAGUGCACACACCAAACGUCUCUUAAGGAGGUUCUCAAAAGCUGUAUUGCAAGGAUCAUCCUUUUAUGUAUAUCUUUGCUCACCUACAACUUCUUCCGAGGAAAGUGGAGAGGAAGGAGUUAAAGAAGCUGGCCUUUAGUUCUGGAGAAAGAAAAAAGGCAGGUGACAUCUAAAUUCCUUGUAAAUGUGCUGAAAACUGAACCUUCUGGUAAAUAGAUGAAUGAUAUUUGCUAGGAGAUCUCUA
rnacentral:lncRNA from 1 species